rnacentral:rRNA from 1 species
CCUACGGGAGGCAGCAGUGGGGAAUAUUGGACAAUGGGGGCAACCCUGAUCCAGCCAUGCCGCGUGAGUGAUGACGGCCUUAGGGUUGUAAAGCUCUUUUCUCCGGGACGAUAAUGACGGUACCGGAGGAAUAAGCCCCGGCUAACUUCGUGCCAGCAGCCGCGGUAAUACGAAGGGGGCUAGCGUUGCUCGGAAUCACUGGGCGUAAAGGGCGCGUAGGCGGCUGACUUAGUCGAGGGUGAAAGCCCGUGGCUCAACCACGGAAUGGCCUUCGAUACUGGUUGGCUUGAGACCGGAAGAGGACAGCGGAACUGCGAGUGUAGAGGUGAAAUUCGUAGAUAUUCGCAAGAACACCAGUGGCGAAGGCGGCUGUCUGGUCCGGUUCUGACGCUGAGGCGCGAAAGCGUGGGGAGCAAACAGGAUUAGAUACCCUGGUAGUCCACGCUGUAAACGAUGAAUGCUAGCCGUUGGUCUGCAUGNAGUCGAGUGCGCGCACGACAUAGCAUCCGCCGUGGGAGGUACGGUCGCGAGAAGUAAACUAACUAAUAGUUAAGUUAGUACGGCGUUGAGACGNGCCGAGGACGACGACGAGGGAGGAGG